AAAUAAAGAUUCACAAGGACCUCCAAGGACAGUGAAUUCAAUUGUCAUAAAAGCAGGUCUAUGGACACCAUGGAUCUUGGAUAAAUUAGACAACUAGGAUCUUAUUCAUUUAAUUCCAGAGGGAAUGACUAUCAAGCUGCUUCCAUCAUUCUCCCAUUCAAAAGAAAGAAUUUUUUUUCCACAAUCAGUAAAAUAUCUUACACUUGUCUGAAGCAUCAGAAUUAGGAGCUGUUAUGAAAUGUUAGUGCCUGUAAGAUGAAAUAAAAAUUUGUCACAAUGGC